UGGUGAACCAGCGGAGGGAUCAUUACCAGAGUGCCCUGGGCUCUUCAACCCAUUGUGAACUUACCAAACGUUCCUCGGCGGGCUCAGCGCGCGGUGGCCUCCGGGCCUCCGGGCGUCCGCCGGGGAAAACCAAACCCUGAUUAAUCGUAUUUCUCUGAGGGGCGAAAGCCCGAAAACAAAAUGAAUCAAAACUUUCAACAACGGAUCUCUUGGCUCUGGCAUCGAUGAAGAACGCAGCGAAAUGCGAUAAGUAAUGUGAAUUGCAGAAUUCAGUGAAUCAUCGAAUCUUUGAACGCACAUUGCGCCCGCCGGCACUCCGGCGGGCAUGCCUGUCCGAGCGUCAUUUCAACCCUCAGGCCCACCCUUCCGGGGGAGCGGGCCUGGUGCUGGGGAUCGGCGGCCCUCGGGGCCCCCGUCCCUCAAAUUCAGUGGCGGUCGCGCCGCAGCCUCCCCUGCGUAGUAGCACAACCUCGCACCGGAGAGCGGAACGACCACGCCGUGAAACCCCCAAUUUUCUAAGGUGACCUCGGAU
rnacentral:misc_RNA from 1 species